AUUGAACGCUGGCGGCAGGCCUAACACAUGCAAGUCGAACGGUAACAGGAAACAGCUUGCUGUUUCGCUGACGAGUGGCGGACGGGUGAGUAAUGUCUGGGAAACUGCCUGAUGGAGGGGGAUAACUACUGGAAACGGUAGCUAAUACCGCAUAACGUCGCAAGACCAAAGAGGGGGACCUUCGGGCCUCUUGCCAUCGGAUGUGCCCAGAUGGGAUUAGCUAGUAGGUGGGGUAACGGCUCACCUAGGCGACGAUCCCUAGCUGGUCUGAGAGGAUGACGAGCCACACGGGAAGUGAGACACGGUGCAGGGGCCUACGGGAGGCAGCAGUGGGGAAUAUUGCACAAGGGGCGCGAGGCGGAUGCAGCGAUGCGGGGUGUAUGAAGAAGGCCGUCGGGUUGUAAAGUAGGGUGAGGGGGGAGGAAGGGAGUAAAGUUAAUACCUGGACUGAUUGACGUUACCCGGAGAAGAAGCACCGGCUAACUCCGUG
rnacentral:rRNA from 1 species